rnacentral:piRNA from 1 species
UGCUGAUUUGUAAAUGGUAUUUGAGAG